rnacentral:rRNA from 1 species
UACAGAGGGUGCAAGCGUUAAUCGGAAUUACUGGGCGUAAAGCGUGCGUAGACGGUUAUUUAAGUCGGGUGUGAAAGCCCCGGGCUCAACCUGGGAAUUGCAUUCGAGACUGAAUAGCUAGGGUGCGGAAGAGGGAAGCGGAAUUUCCGGUGUAGCGGUGAAAUGCGUAGAUAUCGGAAGGAACACCAGUGGCGAAAGCGGCUUCCUGGUCCAGCACCGACGUUCAGGCACGAAAGCGUGGGGAGCGAACGGG